rnacentral:sRNA from 1 species
GGAGUGUCCAUCAGAGAGCUUCACCUCCUUGAGGAUUAAAGCCUAACAGUACUGAGCUAUUCGCCUGUCAAAAUGUCUGCAAAAUUAGGAAAGUCAUCAUCGCUCCUAACACAAACUUCAGAGGAGUGUAAUGGGAUUCUGACAGAGAAGAUGGAAGAGGAAGAGCAGACCUGUGAUCCAGACUGUAGCCUCCACUGGAGCAGCAGCUACAGCCCAGAGACCUUCCGCCAGCAGUUCAGGCAGUUUGGCUACCAGGAUUCACCUGGGCUCCAGGAGGCUCUGAGCCAGCUCCAGGAACUUUGUCAUCUCUGGCUGAGGCCGGAGGUGCACACCAAGGAGCAGAUCCUGGAGCUGCUGGUGCUGGAGCAGUUCCUGGCCAUCCUCCCAAAUGAGCUUCAGGCCUCAGUGCAGAAGCAUCAUCUAGAGAAUGGAGAGGAAACUGUGACUAUGCUGGAGGAUGUGGAGAGAGAGUUUGAUGGACCAGAGCAGGUAAGAAGGAUGCCUGUGGAGAUGAACCCCCAGGCUGAGUCAAGAGCGCUGGCACAUCAUUGGGAGUAGAGCUCUCAAACUGUAUUCCCACUCAGCACAACCAGAUGUAUAGAGGUGAAAGUACUAAUAGGUGUCCCAGCAAAUAGAAGAUGGCUCUACUUUUUCCCUCCCUUUUCCUGUGUCCAUGAUACUUUUUGCAUAGUUUCUUCUCUGUUAUUUUAUCCUCAAGUCCCAACCUGAUGGUGUUCUUCAGCCUCAAUUAUUCCUGUUUUUAGAUCUUUUUUGGACGAAGGAAGGACAUGAUUGCAGAGAAGCUAGCACCUUCAGAAAUCACUGAGGAAUUGCCAAGUAGCCAGCUCAUGCCCGUGAAGAAGCAGCCCCAGGGAGCAUCAUGGGAGCUUCAGUCCUUAAGACCACAUGGUGAGGGGGCAGGAUUCAGUUCAUUGUGGAAGGUGUGGGGGCCCUCUGCUCACCACACACAUCUCAGUUGAUUUAUGCAAGAGGCCUCAAAUCUCCCCCUCUCAUCUCCUUCUUACUGUGGGAACUUCUGUUAUUUGUCCUACUAAAUGAAGAUCUUCAGUAUUUUGUUCUUGCUUCUUUUUCAGAGAUUCUUAUAAAAUCUUCAGAUUUUAAAUCCCUGACAUCUCCAUCAGGGUUUUCAUGCCUUUUUAAAGUAGCCCUUUUAUCUUCAGGCAGCCCUUGAGGCCUUUCUGUGGGACCCCAAGGUACACAGCCCAGAGACCACUGAUCCUCAUCAUCAUUUCCUAUAUAACUGCUCAGUUACUGGUGGGAUCUAGUAGCAGAAUCGCCUGUAUUGCUGCUAAGGUGACUUUGCUCUCAUACGUGCUUUGAAUACACUUCUCUACUCCCUCACAUCUUCAACUGGCCUCAACUGCUCUUUGCAUUGCUUUCUAUAAGUGCUCCAGAAUAGCUGCGUAGCAAUCUAUUCUUCCAUUGCAGAUACUAAACAAAUAAGUGCUAUGGGGAAAAAAUAAAAACAAAACAAAGAAUAAGGGGGUUAGAGGGAAGGUAAGAAGUGGAAAUAAGGCUGAGUUAGAGGCCUUGUAGGCUGUGACUGCUCCUGCUUCAGACAGAGUAGCUGUGUUUUCAUCUGUUUUAUAUAUUGGAACUCAAUGUAAAAUUUCAUUUGAUAAAAGGGCCAUGCUACUUUAAACAGAAUGGCGGGGAUAGGAUCUUAUUAUAUAGAGUGGUAGAAAGACCUCUCUGAUGAAGCAACAUUUGAGCAGAGACCCUCCUUCUAGAUGAUCAUCCUGGAUAAAAUAGGAGCCAGAGAUUAAGAGGGAAAUCCUACUUGGGAGUAUCUCCUUCCCUCCCUCCAGCACUGCUUCCAUAGUUCAGGAGUGGCUGAUAGCUAAGCAAGGUUAGAGUUUUUCCAAGGGAAUUUUUAUAAGAAACUAUACAAAGGAAAUACAGUAAUUUAGAAAGAGAUUUAGAAAACAUUGUUCCCCCUAACUUGGCAAGUACUGGCUCUCUGAAGGCUUAUACUGGGACACGUAAUACCUCCAGUCUAGAAAUUGUCUUGGUUUACUUAGAAAAGUGAAAGUCUUUUCAUGAAAAAGUAUUUUCCAUCAGGAAAGGGAGGGAGACCAUCCCAGCCUCAGCAGCUUGGUGUGGUGGUGACUACAGAAGUGAUCAACCUCAAAGCCAGGUGUGGCAAGAACCACAUCCUACCUGUGAAUGUCCUCGUGGAGGCCUUUCGUACAUUUUUUUUCAAGAUUCAUAGAAAUUUGAAACAGAAUGCAACGGGUCCAGGAUCUUGCAGUACAAGGCAGAGAGAACCAGAAUCAUUUAAUAGAAUAAUAGAACCAUUUCUUAAGGCCACAACAUGAUUUCUGUGGUACUGAGUCAUGUCUUAUCAAAGCUUCUGGGAGAUGAUCUUGGUCUCAGUACUGUAGAGUACUAAUUGAUGCCAGGAUUUUGAUAGUAAUGACUAAUAAUUAAGGUCACUUUGGAAUAUCAACUAUCAAAAAUGAAUUUGAGACAGAAUCCUUACCAUUUAUAAAAUGAUUUCCACUUAAACUAGUAAUAAUAAAUGAGUAUGCCAUA